rnacentral:rRNA from 1 species
GAUGAACGCUGGCGGCGUGCCUAACACAUGCAAGUCGAGCGAUUUACUUCGGUAAAGAGCGGCGGACGGGUGAGUAACGCGUAGGCAACCUGCCCUCAAGCCUGGGAUAACUCCGGGAAACCGGUGCUAAUACCAGAUAAUCAUUGCUUCCGCAUGGAAGCUUUGUAAAAGUUUUUCGCUGGAGGAUGGGCCCGCGGUGCAUUAGCUUGUUGGUGGGGUAAUGGCCUACCAAGGCGACGAUGCAUAGCCGACCUGAGAGGGUGACCGGCCACACUGGGACUGAGACACGGCCCAGACUCCUACGGGAGGCAGCAGUAGGGAAUUUUCCGCAAUGGGCGAAAGCCUGACGGAGCAACGCCGCGUGAGUGAUGACGGCCUUCGGGUUGUAAACCUCUGUUCUUAGGGAAGAAGUUCUGACGGUACCUAAGGAGAAAGCCCCGGCUAACUACGUGCCAGCCGCCGCGGUAA